GACGGGGGCCCGCGACAAGGCGGAGGAGCAUGUGGUUUAAUUCGAUGAUACGCGAGGAACCUUACCUGGGCUCGAACGUAAGAUGACUGUAGGUGAAAGCUUACAUCUCUUCGGAGCAUUUUACGAGGUGCUGCAUGGUUGUCGUCAGCUCGUGCCGUGAGGUGUCGGGUUAAGUCCCAUAACGAGCGCAACCCUACCUUUAGUUGCCAUCAGGUAAUGCUGGGGACUCUAAAGGAACUGCCUACGCAAGUAGUGAGGAAGGCGGGGAUGACGUCAAAUCAGCACGGCCCUUACGUCCAGGGCUACACACGUGCUACAAUGGCCGAUACAGAGGGCAGCUACCUGGUGACAGGAUGCAAAUCUCCAAAGUCGGUCUCAGUUCGGAUCGGAGUCUGCAACCCGACUCCGUGAAGUUGGAUUCGCUAGUAAUCGCGCAUCAGCCAUGGCGCGGUGAAUACGUUCCCGGGCCUU
rnacentral:rRNA from 1 species